rnacentral:rRNA from 1 species
AGAGUUUGAUCAUGGCUCAGGAUGAACGCUGGCGGCGUGCCUAACACAUGCAAGUCGAGCGGAGAUGUUGUUGCUUGCAACAAUAUCUUAGCGGCGGACGGGUGAGUAACACGUGGGUAACCUGCCCUAAACAAAGGGAUAACAAUGAGAAAUCAUUGCUAAUACCGUAUAAGCUUACAAUAUCGCAUGAUAAAGUAAGAAAAGAUUUAUCGGUUUAGGAGGGGCCCGCGUCUGAUUAGCUAGUUGGAGAGGUAACAGCUCACCAAGGCGACGAUCAGUAGCCGACCUGAGAGGGUGAUCGGCCACAUUGGGACUGAGACACGGCCCAAACUCCUACGGGAGGCAGCAGUGGGGAAUAUUGCACAAUGGAGGGAACUCUGAUGCAGCAACGCCGCGUGAAGGAAGAAGGUUUUCGGAUCGUAAACUUCUAUCUACAGGGAAGAAAAAAAUGACGGUACCUGAGUAAGAAGCCCCGGCUAACUACGUGCCAGCAGCCGCGGUAAUACGUAGGGGGCAAGCGUUAUCCGGAAUUACUGGGUGUAAAGGGUGAGUAGGCGGUUAAAUAAGCCAUAUGUGAAAUCUUAGAGCUCAACUUUAAGACUGCAUAAGGAACUGUAUAACUAGAGUGCAGGAGAGGUAAGUGGAAUUCCUAGUGUAGCGGUGAAAUGCAGAUAUUAGGAGGAACACCAGUGGCGAAGGCGACUUACUGGACUGAAACUGACGCUGAGUCACGAAAGCGUGGGGAGCAAACAGGAUUAGAUACCCUAGUAGUCC